UUGGUAACAGUAGAAGCAUAAUUGCUUUAGUUAUGUGUCACUUUAUACCAUGAAUGUGAAGCUCAUGUGAAUACUGUAUUACCUGUGGCAAUGCAAACAGUCCUUCAUUAAUAAUACAAGAAUGCUCUGGGUUUUCUGGUCCUGAGGAAAGAAGGAGUAGUGUGAGCACACGGCCAAAUUAUUGCAGGAACAAAUACACUUAUUUAGGUGUGGCAAAAAACUCGCAGAAACUCAGUUAGCAGAGAGUAUCAGAAGUGCUGGACAAAGGAGAGAGCUAGCAACUGUCACACCAGCUGGAGAACCGAAUAAGUGAAUCUGGGGCUGCUCUUCUGUCCUGUUGUGGUUGUGCAGAGCUGUAUGCCAGGAUGGGCAUGUCACAGCAGGGGACACCAGGCACAUCACAGCACCGUUCUGGAGGGCGCCGUGAAAGUGCAGGCUGACAAUGAGCUUGUGGAGAUGGGGUCACAAAAUUCAAAUGCUGUGGAGAGCUUAUGGCUCCUUGAAACUCAAAUUCUACAACGUCAUAUGAAUCCAGAAAAUGGUAUCACCCUGGGAGAAAGAAUGGAGCUCAGAGGCUUCAGAUGGGGAAUUGGGAGAGCUGGCUUCUUCACACCUGUGGAAAACUUUGCAUGAGAGGAUGAAAGGAUAACACGUUCUGCAAAGUCUUCAAGAGCACCAAACCAAAAUUUCCAUGAAAUAAUGCAAUGAGCAGGGGAAUGCCUGCUUGAAGAAACACAGAACUGGAGAGGGACACAGGAAUGUGGAUGAAGGCUUUAAGCAUUGCUAGAGAGGGCAAAUGGAAAUUUAACAAAGCUUUAUGAGACAAAACAUCCAGAGAUGUAUACCCAACAGGUCAGCUGUGCAGCCCACUGUCCUCAUAUGGCUUUCCCUGUACUUGUAUCUGCUGGCCAACUGACCAGUGUAACAUGCUAAAAGUUCUACACAGCCCCAAAGGAAGAUCAGAACAGUGAUGAGUGUUUGCAUUCUGAUCUCAGAAUUGGGUAGAAAAAAUUUCACCAGAUUUUCUAGCCUGAUCAUCUUUAGGAACAAGGCAUGGAAAAUCAUGGCAUAUCUCUUUUUGUCUGCUGGUUUGCAUACCUCUAGGGAGUUCUCUCACUUCCCGCUCUUAUUUUUGGACUACUCUUGGCCAAUUUCAAGGAAAACUUCAUAGAUGAAUAGUAAUCUCAAAGCCUAUGAAGUUUUUACAAUAUUUGGGAAGAGGAGUGACACGGCAGGUGAUAGAAUACAAAUAAGAAAGAGGCCUUUAAGAGAUCCAAACCAGGAAGAUGGCUUUAGCUGAAGUUCAUACCUGCUAUUUAUGCAGAAGUCAAGCAAUCAAAAGAAAUGAAGCUAUAAGAAACUAUGUUCUGUUCUUUGUGAUACCCACAGGCCAGCUUCUUUACUGACUGUAAAUGAGAAUUGUUUUUUAUCACUGCUCAAUAAAAUUGUUAUAUGUAA